rnacentral:rRNA from 1 species
UACGUAGGGUCCGAGCGUUGUCCGGAAUUACUGGGCGUAAAGAGCUCGUAGGUGGUUUGUCGCGUUGUUCGUGAAAACUCACAGCUCAACUGUGGGCGUGCGGGCGAUACGGGCAGACUAGAGUACUGCAGGGGAGACUGGAAUUCCUGGUGUAGCGGUGGAAUGCGCAGAUAUCAGGAGGAACACCGGUGGCGAAGGCGGGGUCUCUGGGCAGUAACUGACGCUGAGGAGCGAAAGCGUGGGGGAGCGAACAGG